ensembl:lncRNA
GUGUUUCCCAAACUUGUUCCGCCGCUUGUGUAGGGAAAGCCCCUGGUGGGCCCAGGUCGGUUUGUUUACCUGUUGCAUCUUCAGGUCUGGCCAAUCGUGGCUCCCACUGGCUGCGGUUUGGGCCGAUUUGUUUUUCUGCCACAUCCACAGGUCCAGCCAAUCGCGGAUCCGACUGGCCGCGGUUUGCAGUGAACUGCGGCCAGCGGGAGCUGUGAUCAGCUGGAUCUGCAGAUGCGGCAGGUAAACAAACUGGCCCAGCCCACCCGGGGCUUUCCCUACACAAGCAGCGGAACAAGUUUGGGAAACACUGUUCUAGUNAAUCCUCGACCUAACUCUGAUUCCUGCUUUUUGUGCGGGCAGGAAGGGCACUGGAAGGCUAAAUGCUCGUGGAAAGAGCUGCGCCUACUGUAAGCAGGAAUGCUACCUUAUAAAGAAGUGCCGGAGCUAGCCCCUUUCCCGAAUUUCCAGUUCUUCCCUAAUCCGCCUCCUCUGCAGCCAGGUUGCCAGGUUGCCCUCCAGCAUACUUCUUUAAUGACCUUAACUGCUAAUUUAACUGGGGACAUGGGUCCUAGGUGACCCCAGAUUUAUUCAGUAGCUUUGAAGAAGAUUUUCCUAAUUCAGAAUUUACUGAAUAAGAAGUUGGGAUUCUGACAAGCAGUAUGAUUUCUAAGCAGUUGCUGAACUUCCGUUCACAGUUUUACUAUGUUUACAUAUAUUUUAUAUAAAACUACACUAGUUAGAAAGAUCCACCAGCUCCGAGUAUACCACUUUUAGCCCACCCCUCGUGACAGAGCCUGUGAUGUUGUGUGAACUACAGCAGAUUUACACNGUCCAGGGUUUUCCUACAUCAGGAAGUACACUAUAUCCUGUUAGGGUAAUUUUCUGCCCUCUCUGUUCCACCAGAGAGGAGCAAGUGGGAGCCUCCCUCUCUUCCCUUCAAUCAUCUGGGACUGAAUUUCUGUCAUCCCCCCCUUCAUUCCUCUUCAUCUCUAAAAUGUCCAUCAUUAAUUCUAGAUCCAUCACUUCACGUUCUAGAACAGUCAUUCCUAAAUUCAGACCCUAUUUAUUAAGAUUCUCCACAGCCUCAGAUGGGAGAAGCAGAGCUUCUAAGGAAAGAGAAGGGACUUCUGAAGAUAGGACUAAGUGGCUCACACGUCUAUUCCCCUCUCCAGAAUCCCAAACACCUGUAUCACUCAGAUCAAGGGAACAACCUUUACUCCCUUUCAAUAAGGGGGUUGGAAGCUCCACUGCAGUAACUUUGUUAUGAUUCUCUAGCAGGCUCAAAUGUCUCAGUGUUUGGGCCAGAAUGUGUGAUGCCCUCCUGCCACAUGCAGCCUUUUGUUUGAAUUUGGUGACACUAUGCUAUGUGUUAACAGUAGCAAGCUAACUUCAGAUAUGAGGCAACACAGGAAACCCACAUAAGAUUUUGGCCAAAUUCCCAUCCACUGCCCCCUUCCCCCUGCUUUCUUUGGUGGUGCUCUACCCCACAGCUGGGAUGGUGCUUAAUCAGCUCUAUUCAGUUGGGUUUUGAGGGAAAUCUCUCUCUAGCUCCAGAGGUCAGUCCAAGUCUGACUUUCAUGUUCCAUCUCUUCUUGAGGCAUGUAUGCAACUCCUUUUCAGCGAGCUAAGUAAGGCGCUGAAAAGGGAAGACUCUUCUCCUACCUCCAAAGUUUCCUAAGGCAUUUGUUACAGUAAUGCUGUAGGUGAAUUCUUUAGGACCUCCUGCAAUGUUCAUUUGAGACCAUCAGAAGGAUGAAAGGGUCACAUCACUGAAUUUAAAGACAAAAGGCCAACUCAAACUUUCUAACUGGAAAGCUUUUAGGUUUCUUUUUGAGAAACUGAAAUAUAUACGGGAAUGUAAGAAUGUCCAGGCAAUACUUGAUCACAUGAAAUGCAAGUUUUGCUUGAAAAACACUGUCAAACCAAAGGGAUCAGACUCCAAUCAUAUAAUUUAGAAUGGGAGAAACUGUUCACUUCAUUCUUAGAUGACCAUAUUUUAAAUCUCCUUAUACAGAGGAGUAUUUGAAAGACAUGGCUCAAGUUGAAGGGAAUAAAAAGGAGAAUGACAAGUCA